UAUUGUAGUACAUGGUCAGCCAGUAAUGAUACUUUAUUGAAUAUCUAUUAAUAUUAAUAGCCAGCUGAUUAUAACAUAUUCUUAAUAUUAUCUCGGUUUUAUGGCUUCACAUAGGAGAUCUUUCUGAGAAUAUUUGUGGAUUUUUUUAACUAUACAACAUUCUUUUAAUAAAAAAAACUGUUUAUUGUGUGAAAAUUGUUUUUUGGAAAAAUAAAAACAUAAUCUUUGGAGUAAAUAGUUUUAGAGAUAGUACCAGUGGAUGCUGAUUAAUCACUGUGAAAAGAUUGAAAGUUGAAAGGGAGUCCCCAGAAAAGGAUGAACACACAGUAAACAAUCAUACAGGCAGACUUCAUAAUCUAGGACAUGAGAAAGAACAAGCCAUCUCGAGAAGCUUUGCAGCAGACGGCACUUGUGGAAAUUUGGAAAGUUUGGUGUAAAGUUGGGAAAUGGCUGUUAAAGAAUAGAAAACAGAAGAAAAAGCAAACAGAAACAGUAUAUAAGACACUGUUAUCCAUAUAAUAUUAUGUGAAUAAUAUUACCUUCCUCAUAAAUUUUGUGGGAUGUUAUACUUUCAUUCGUCUGUUUUGACAAAAAAAGCUGGUUAUAUUAUAGAAUUGUCCCUUUGUCCAUCUGUCAGCAUUUUCAUUUCCUCUGAGAUCAUGGGUACAGCUACAAACUUACUGAAGAUGACGUGUAAAAAUAAUCAGUUUUUGAACAUUUUGAAGCAUUUUCGCAUUACAUAUAUAUUUUAUGUAAUAAGUACAUUCAAACAAUUAAGUAAUUCUAAAUUUUCAAUAUAAAAAAAAAAACUUUAAAUUUUCAUUUAUAUAAUUAUAUUUUCACUGACCUUACACAAGGUUUAGCAGAAACAGACCGCGAAUAAAUUUUUAUCAGAAUGUAGAUACUUAAGAUGAGAUGCAGCAGAAGAUAAAUACUAUUAUAUCCCACAAUUCCAUUCAGUUUAAGUAGUGUGUGAAAUUGAAAAGUUUUAAAUCGAAAAUGACAUGCUUUAUUUACAAAUUUGAAUUUCAAAUUAGCUGGAUGUUGGUAGCGAUUAUGAAGAGGUAAUCACCAGCCUAGUAAAAAAUCUACAAAACCGAUCUAUAAGAAUUGUUACAGUCUAUUCGCAAUAGAAUAUUAAAAAGGCCGUUGAAUUUUAAUAGAAUCAAAUAAUAGUGCUUGAGUCAAUUAAAUGUAGCAUUAUUAACGAUCUUAAACUGAAACGAACAAAGCGGCGCAUUCCGAAACUUUAAAAUGUUUAUAGCUGGGUAGGCACUUACGGGGCUUUAUGGACAUUUAUGGUUUGACGGGAUCUGAGUCAGUCAUUUAUUUUCCUCUGAGUAUAAUGGCAUUGAUCAAUUUAUUCAAGUACAAUGUAUUCAUGUCCCUGUAGAUAUUUAUCACUUUGUUUAAAAAACGUUACAUAAACAAUUUUGUGAUUGUUCUGUAAUAAUGACAGAACUUUAUUAUCAGUGAGCCGCAAUUUUAUUAACUGAUCUAUGUCGAGUUUCAUACUUGUUUGUCUAUUUAUUAAGAUUCACAGAAGAAGAAAAAAAACUUUUUCACCGAAAUUAAUGUAUUUUGAAAUAGUCGCAAGAAGCCAACUUUUGUAUCAAGGCAGUCUAAAAUGAGUAAUUAUUAUAUAAACUAUAUUUUUCUCUGAAAAAAAUGUCAUUGAAAUGCGUUAUGAAGUAAUUUUAUUUCGAGGAAUUUGAAAUUUAUUGGGGAAAAAACACAAGAAAAUACUGAACUUGUGAUUGGUGCCUGAAGGCAUGCUAAUUAGGCAGGCAUCGCUCAUGAUUUCUAGGACAAUAAUUGUUUCUUAUCUCUUGGAACCAGCUGGAUUGGGGGUUUUUAAUUGGCCAAUAAUCAUGAAGUAACUGGCACUUAAUUUGUGUUUUAACAUUACCAGACUCCCCAUGGAGCUUUAUGUGUAGUUACUGGUCUGAUAAGACACCGGCUUGCCUCUCCGUAAACAUUAAAAUGAUGAAAUAAAAAAUAGAAUAUAAAAAAAACUUUUAUUUACGGAGUUAGGUAUGCCUAAUUAGAUCUUUUCCAGUGAAGGAGGCUGAAAUUGAUACAGAUUGAGUCAAAAAUAAAGAGAAACUCCAGCCAUCACAAUACUAUCAACAUUCUGUGGUAUACAUGUUUUUUAUAUAUAUAUAUAAUUAUAAUGCUCCCUCUUAUUGGUGACAUUUCAAUGUCUGAAAUGAAAACUUGGGAUUUUUCAAGAUUUUCAACUUUUGUUUCAAUUGUGCAGUUAUUAGUCACUUGUAGAGAUGAUGCCAAGCUUUUUCCAGCCAUCUAUGAAUACCAUAACCUUAAAAUUGAUAACAUUUGGAUAAAAACGAUAGAUUUUUUUUUUUCUGUUUAAAAAUAAUUAGUUGUUGAACGCAUUCUUGGAAUUGAUGACAAUGUAGAAAUUGCCACAUUAGCAGAAUAUCGCACAUCAUUUAACUGAAACAGUUUUAUUAAAUCAUCUACUGGCGGUAAUCCUCGUUUGACCAUUUCGAGCCUUAUAUUUCCUGUAGCAGUACCACGCUAGCACUCUUCAUGAUUAACUCAUUUUUGUCUGUCUCCAUCAUUAUUGUGUAUUUUCGUGAAAUAUUAUCGUUUUAGCUAUAGAAAGUAUUGUUCUUCCUUCCUUUCUAUUGUCAUACACGACAAUAAAUACAAAUGGAAGGUUAUUACAGAUAAUUCACUGUAUUUCCCAAAGCCAGCCCUCCAUUAGGUUAAUUUGUUAUUGUUCGGAGCAACGAGCUUCCACUUCAAGUUAAGAGGGGUUUUAUGGCAUAUAAUAAUUAGUGGAGAGCUGAAAAUAGUGCCUCAGCCAUUGACAGAAAUUUUCGUCAAUGGGGAUCAACUGAAAUUGUCACUUGGCAUGCUAUUAUGUUUAUAUGGAGCAAACAGUUUAGAACAGUCAACUUUCUAUAUUGCUCAUUUCGGCUUUAUUUUUAGUAACAGACUUACGCCUGGCAGUUAAUUUCUGAAGUUUUCAUUUUUAUUGAUAUAAAAACUUUCAAACUUUUUUUUCUUAUUUUUUUUCUCCCAUGUAAUGAUAAAGUAUUGAAAUUUUAAAAGGAAACGGCAAAAGCAGGAGAUAUAAGUAUAUGAAAACAACGCUUGAUGAAGUUUUAUUUGCAUUUAGUAAUUUUCUUGGAGUGAUUAGACACCAGAUAGUGUAGAUUCAACAGCAUUUAGAAUUCAGACAUUGGUAUAUAUGAAGAACCUGAUGUACAUCAUGAUGUAAUGAUAGUCAACAAAUGUUCAUACAACAUACAUGAAUGGCCGAAGAAUGACAGAAAUAGUGUACAGAAAUCACGAAACCAGGGGUUGUAAGUUUGAGCCGCUUGCUCCUCCAACUUAAAGAUUACUAACAUUGCGGUAAGAAUUUGGUAUUACACCUGGCAGUUGCUAACGAACCAGGAAUGCUUUCGGAAUUGAUGCGACUUUUAUAUUUUGCACUAUCCUCCCACUAACAUUCUUGGAGGAGUCACCCAUAUUGGUUACUGGUGGCGAUUGUUAUUAAGCUUACAACAGACAAGCAGUAGUCUACAGCGUAUUUCAGGAUAUACAUGAAAGAACUACUGACAUUGAAGCAUCCAGUAUCGGUAAGGUCAUAUAUUGCAGACGAAAAAAUUUCGAUAUGAUUUUGUGGUAACAUGAGCAGUGACAGUAUUGCUUUUAAUAUUGUCGCAUAUUAGUAUUCCAUUUCAAAAUAUUAUAUCUGGUCCUAAAGAGAAUGACUAGGUAAAGUGGUUGAAUGUACAACUUUUCUCGUUACGUGCUAAUUUUUUUCCUGAUCAGUUAGGUAUUGUCUCUUCAUUGUUUUAAUUUUUUCCUUUUAAAAUGUACGAUCAAGCAUGUAGAUUAAUUGUUUGUUACAAUUAAAAAGGUUUGUUAAAUAGUUCAUGAGCAUUGUAUACGGCUCAUUUAAGGCUCGUCAGAAGGAAAAAUCACGUAGAUCUCACUGGUUUUCAAUGCUGCGUCUAUUUAUCUCUAAAUCUAAGAUUGCUUGCCUCGUGCCCUUUUUCAAUAUGGAAAAAACUGGGUCACAUGUGAGACAAAACUAUGUUUUAUGGUUUCAUUAAAAAAAUCGCAUAGUUUUGUCAAAGCAGAUCGUGAAGUUUAUACUAUCUCAUAGAUUUAAAAUAACACAAUUUUUUUACAAAAUAGUUGUGAAUAUUUAUUAUGUUUUUGUAAAUAUAUCAUUUAUGAUUGAGGAAAAGUUUCCUGGGUAUUUUAUUUGUAAUUAUUUCAUCCCUUAUUGUGCUAAAUAUGCAUAUCUGUAAUUGGCCAAAGACAGUAAUGUGAAAACAUGCAUGAAAUUCAUGAUAACAUCUGCGGUGAUUUUUUAAAAUGGGGAUUGUCUAUCACUUCGUGAUAGAUUGUUACGCUUCAGGGACCAUUUUGGUAUGCCUACCCCAAAAUGCUCAGUGAAAAAAAACGCUAAAUUCUGGUACAUUUAUUUAAAGUUUUCUCGGAGAAUAUGAUAUUAUAAAAUUAGGAUAUGGAAUAUCGGCUUAAAAUAUUUUGGAUAUAAAUUUUGUACACAGUUCGUUAUUAGUGGAUCUGGUUAUAACAUAAAUUUUGAAUGUUGACAUUUGACAGAUGAGGUUAGUAUUGAGCUCCACUCGUUACCAUGGAAACAAAAUUUGAAAAUUAUAGGUUUCGAUGAAAUGUAUUCUAGUGUAAAAUGUGUAAUUUUUAUUAACUCCAAAUUAAAAGGAUUUUCGUACUGGAACCAGAGGAUGA
rnacentral:lncRNA from 1 species